rnacentral:piRNA from 1 species
UAACAUGAAGCAAUUCCACUGGGGUUC